rnacentral:rRNA from 1 species
CCUACGUGUGGCAGCAGUGGGGAAUAUUGGACAAUGGGCGAAAGCCUGAUCCAGCCAUGCCGCGUGUGUGAAGAAGGCCUUCGGGUUGUAAAGCACUUUCAGUGGGGAAGAAAGCCUUGGGGCUAAUACCCUCGAGGAAGGACAUCACCCACAGAAGAAACACCGGCUAACUCCGUGCCAGCAGCCGCGGUAAUACGGAGGGUGCGAGCGUUAAUCGGAAUUACUGGGCGUAAAGCGCGCGUAGGCGGUCUGAUAAGCCGGUUGUGAAAGCCCCGGGCUCAACCUGGGAACGGCAUCCGGAACUGUCAGGCUAGAGUGCAGGAGAGGAAGGUAGAAUUCCCGGUGUAGCGGUGAAAUGCGUAGAGAUCGGGAGGAAUACCAGUGGCGAAGGCGGCCUUCUGGACUGACACUGACGCUGAGGUGCGAAAGCGUGGGUAGCAAACAGGAUUAGAUACCCCGGUAGUC